GUUGAGUUUCUUUUCCAUGAACAUUUUGAAAACAUAAUAGAAGAGGCAUGUGAUCCAAAUUACCUUUUGGUAAAUGAAAGACAGUUACUUCAGGAAAUUUUAAUCUCCACGUCGAGUCGUACGAAGCUCUACCCAAACCCUCACGAAGUGCCAGUCAAGCUCACAGUAGAAUCUCUACAUUGAUCCAUAUUACUUAGCCUUAUUUAGUUGAUUCCACUAUUGAAACCACCUUGUGUCAUGUUUAUCUAAGGUUGUUUCCAUUUGUAUAACCUUAUUUCUACUAGUGGGCUCAAAGUAUUCUCCAUGAAAUCACCAAUAAUUGCCAAAUGUGACUUGACCCAUUAAUUAUCCUUACCUCUAUAUUUAAUUUUGCUGCCCAUAUGAGAACCCACAUGAGCCCUUAAUGUUUUUCUUAUUCACGUUAUCUCCUUCUUUCUGCAUGCGAGACCUAGAUUCUCAUUGGUUUCCUUCACUUGCAUGCAUAACUUCCUUUUCACAUUGCACCACAUUAACAGUAAAU
rnacentral:misc_RNA from 1 species